UUACGGCCAUAUCAUGUUGAAACACCGGUUCUCAUACAAACAUCGAAGUUAAGCAACAUAAAGAUUAGUACCGAGAUGGAUGGCCGCUUGGGAAUACCAGGUGCUGUAAG